GUUGCGGUUAAAAAGCUCGUAGUUGGAUUUCUGCUUGGGACGACCGGUCCGCCCUCUGGGUGAGUUCUGGUUCGGCCCGGGCAUCUUCUUGGGGUUCAUUGCGGUGAUUGACUUCAUUGCGUGGAGCCCAAGACCUUUACUUUGAGGAAAUUAGAGUGUUUCAAGCAGGCUUCUGCCUUGAAUACAUUAGCAUGGAAUAAUAAGAUAGGACCUCGUCCCUACCUUGUUGGUUCGUAGAGAUGAGGUAAUGAUUAAUAGGGAUAGUCGGGGGCAU
rnacentral:rRNA from 1 species